rnacentral:rRNA from 1 species
CAGUCGCCACGGGAAUACAGAGGGUGCGAGCGUUAAUCGGAUUUACUGGGCGUAAAGCGUGCGUAGGCGGCUUUUUAAGUCGGAUGUGAAAUCCCUGAGCUUAACUUAGGAAUUGCAUUCGAUACUGGGAAGCUAGAGUAUGGGAGAGGAUGGUAGAAUUCCAGGUGUAGCGGUGAAAUGCGUAGAGAUCUGGAGGAAUACCGAUGGCGAAGGCAGCCAUCUGGCCUAAUACUGACGCUGAGGUACGAAAGCAUGGGGAGCAAACAGGAUUAGAGACCCGAGUAGUCCCUGUCUCUUAUAA